rnacentral:lncRNA from 10 species
CCCCGGCCCGCCCCCGGACGUGACGAAAGGGGGUGCGCGGACCGAGGGGGGCCUGGCGCGCCCCGCCGCCGUUCCGAGUUGGGGGGUUUCUGUGUUGUGGGUCCGGGAAGAAGCGAGCGUGGAAAGGUGCCGGGUUCUCGAACGCUGUUUCUGUCCACUGCCACCCUCCUCCCCGUUCUGGGAGUGGGAUUAAGUCGUGUCUGUGGGUCUGGCCAUCUCCGGAGUCUGCAGCUUGGGGCCGAUUCCUCGGUCUCUACCUCCUGUUGCAGGUCUUUUUCGGGCUCUGUGGCUUCUUUGGUUCACGCGUCUCCCGACACGCAUACGCACAGUCCUGAACGUAUGUGACUGAAAGUUAAUCCCCCCAGAAGUCCCAGUUUGGGUUCCAUCAAGCUGUAAGAGCUUUCGUCUCAACACAAGUCAGGCCUCUUCUUUAGCAAAUGGCUGAGACGGGGCUAGGGAAAUCUUGAUCACACCCAUUAAGUGAUUCGAAAGCGUUGCAAGUCCCCUGAGCCUGGUACAGCCUGGACCCGUGUUUCUAGGCGAAUGGAUGAGAUAUUCUGUCUUGCCGUGUGCUAAAUUGGACAGGUUCAGGGGAAGAUAAUUUGUAUAAAAAGGUAGUUCUUUACUGCUAACUGCCAAACUUCUGCAAUCAAAAACACCCGUAGCAGUAACUUGACCUAGGUUAAAAAAGUGUGUGGAUGACAAGCUCAGAAGGAAUAUACAAGCAACUGGAACAAGGCUUUGACUUAAAGAUCUUGGGCAGAUAAAGGAACUUCAACUUCAUCUUGUGCUUUGGGAGAGAUGGUGGAGCAAAGAGGGGAGGCCAGAGAGAUUUUGCGGCUUCUUCAGUUCAGCAUGUCAAAACACUAUACUUGGGAUGUUGAUUUCUGAGCCCCAACAAUACUGAUUUCCAGACCAGACUUUAGGCAAAGAAAGAACAGACUUCAAGCAAACUUUUCUCUACUGAAUAGGAUUAUAUAUUUUAUCACCUUGUGAAGAAUUUCAUCAGAAACAACAUCUCAUUGCAUAUUUGCAUCUUUUCUUGAAAAUUCCUCAA